AAUCGGCUGUUAAAUUUUUGACACUUCAGAGGGAGACCUCAGUCGAAAAUCGGGUGAAUUCGGUGGAACCCCACCGUCGCGAGACGAGGGCAACGCCGAGCCAAGCCAGACGAAGGGCAUAAAGGUCGUCUGGAAGGUGUAGAGACUAGGCGGUGAGGAGCCCAUCCAAUAACCCGCCCACGAGCGCCCGACACCCUAACGGUCACGCCGAGGGUGAAGACAUAGUCCGGCACCGCGAGGAAUCGCGGC
rnacentral:ncRNA from 1 species